GGUGAUUGACGCUGAGGCACGAAAGCGUGGGGAUCAAAACAGGAUUAGAUACCCUGGUAGUCCACGCAGUAAACGAUGAUAACUAACCGCUGGGUAUACGUAUUCAGUGGCCAAGCGAAAGCGAUAAGUUAUCCACCUGGGGAGUACGACCGCAAGGUUGAAACUCAAAGGAAUUGACGGGGGCCCGCACAAGCGGAGGAACAUGUGGUUUAAUUCGAUGAUACGCGAGGAACCUUACCCGGGCUCGAACGGCUGGUGAAGAGAUCCAGAGAUGGUGACGUCCUUCGGGACACCAGUCGAGGUGCUGCAUGGUUGUCGUCAGCUCGUGCCGUGAGGUGUCGGCUCAAGUGCCAUAACGAGCGCAACCCUUGCCGUCAGUUACCAGCACGUCGUGGUGGGGACUCUGGCGGGACUGCCACCGCAAGGUGAGAGGAAGGGGGGGAUGACGUCAAAUCAGCACGGCCCUUACGUCCGGGGCGACACACGUGUUACAAUGGUGACUACAGAGGGAAUCUACCUGGUGACAGGAUGGUAAUCUCGAAAAGUCAUCUCAGUCCGGAUCGGAGUCUGCAACUCGACUCCGUGAAGCUGGAUUCGCUA
rnacentral:rRNA from 1 species